rnacentral:tRNA from 1 species
GGCCCCGUCGUCUAGUGGUUAGGACACAUGCCUUUCACGCAUGCAGCACGGGUUCGACUCCCGUCGGGGUCAC